rnacentral:rRNA from 1 species
UACAGAGGCCUCAAGCGUUGUUCGGAUUCAUUGGGCGUAAAGGGUGUGUAGGUGGCGCCGUAAGUCGGGUGUGAAAUUUCGGAGCUUAACUCCGAAACUGCAUUCGAUACUGCGGUGCUUGAGGACUGGAGAGGAGACUGGAAUUCAUGGUGUAGCAGUGAAAUGCGUAGAGAUCAUGAGGAAGACCAGUGGCGAAGGCGGGUCUCUGGACAGUUCCUGACACUGAGACACGAAGGCCAGGGGAGCAAACGGGG